AACAAACAAGAAGUGAUUGAACCUAGUCAUGUUAGUUGAAUAAUCUGUGAUAAUUUAUAAUACGAAACUGUAAAAUCAGUGAAAUUCAGCCACUGAAGAUGCCAUCCAAUGUGAUGCGCGAAAUAUUUGGCAGAAAAUAAAGACAGAUAAAAUACUGAGCUACAUCGUCUUUUCUUCAAGAAAAGUAACAGAAAACAUAAAAAAUGAAAAUCUGAA